rnacentral:tRNA from 1 species
GCCUCUGUAGCUCAGUUGGUUAGAGCGCUGCACCGGAAUCGCAGGGCCCCGUAGGUUCAAUUCCUACCAGAGGAC